rnacentral:rRNA from 1 species
CAGCAGCCGGGUAAUACGGAGGGUGCAAGCGUUAAUCGGAAUUACUGGGCGUAAAGCGCACGCAGGCGGUCUGACAAGUCAGAUGUGAAAUCCCCGGGCUUAACCUGGGAACUGCAUUUGAAACUGUCAGGCUGGAGUCUUGUAGAGGGGGGUAGAAUUCCAGGUGUAGCGGUGAAAUGCGUAGAGAUCUGGAGGAAUACCGGUGGCGAAGGCGGCCCCCUGGACAAAGACUGACGCUCAGGUGCGAAAGCGUGGGGAGCAAACAGGAUUAGAUACCCCGGUAGUCCCUGUCUCUUAUACA